ACCAGUGACAGCAUUCAGUGACCGUGGGCACAUUCAAGUGUUUUCAAAGUUGAUCCUGACUGUAUAUCGUCAUAUCGAGGAAGGAGUGUAGCUGUGACGAACCAAUGAAGCAGCAGGAUGUGAGGACUAAGGUGCGUGGCAAGAACUGCUGUGGGAGGAGAGGGAGAAGGAGAGGGAGGAGAAUAUUGUGCUCUCCUCCCUAAGUUCAGUGACUGGGAUCACCUUUUGACGAGUGCGUUGAAUUGAGCGCUGCCGACAUCUCGCGGCUGGUCUUGUGCGGUGUGAACUGCAGAGCGAUGAUGAGAUACGUGAAGGCGAAGUUCAGCAUCUGGCGAAGCAAGACUCGAUGUAUUUCCUACCCUGCGUGGCGUGAAAUAUGGUGUGUGUGUGUGUGUGUGUGUGUGUGUGUGUGUGUGUGUGUGUGUGUGUGUGUGUGUGU